UACGUAGGGGGCGAGCGUUGUCCGGAAUUAUUGGGCGUAAAGAGCUCGUAGGCGGCUUGUCGCGUCGGAUGUGAAAGCCCGGGGCUUAACUCCGGGUCUGCAUUCGAUACGGGCAGGCUAGAGUUCGGUAGGGGAGAUCGGAAUUCCUGGUGUAGCGGUGAAAUGCGCAGAUAUCAGGAGGAACACCGGUGGCGAAGGCGGAUCUCUGGGCCGAUACUGACGCUGAGGAGCGAAAGCGUGGGGAGCGAACAGG
rnacentral:rRNA from 1 species